GACAGUGUGGUUAAGUGGUUUUAGCAUUGGACUGUGACUCUGGAAGCCAGGGUUCAAGUCCUUGCUUGGCCA